rnacentral:rRNA from 1 species
UUUCUUGAUUAGUGGCGCACGGGUGAGUAAUGCAUAGAUAAUGUGCCCCUUAGUUCGGGAUAGCCACUGGAAACGGUGAUUAAUACCGGAUACUCCUUCUUGUUAUAAGACAAGUCGGGAAAGUUUUUCGCUAAGGGAUCAGUCUAUGUUCCAUCAGCUUGUUGGUGAGGUAAUGGCUCACCAAGGCUAUGACGGAUAUCUGGUUUGAGAGGAUGAUCAGACACACUGGAACUGAGACACGGUCCAGACUCCUACGGGAGGCAGCAGUGAGGAAUAUUGCACAAUGGAGGAAACUCUGAUGCAGCAACGCCGCGUGGAGGAUGACGCAUUUCGGUGUGUAAACUCCUUUUAUUAGGGAAGAUAAUGACGGUACCUAAUGAAUAAGCACCGGCUAACUCCGUGCCAGCAGCCGCGGUAAUACGGAGGGUGCAAGCGUUACUCGGAAUCACUGGGCGUAAAGGGUGCGUAGGCUGGCUUUUAAGUCAGAUGUGAAAUCCAAUGGCUCAACCAUUGAACUGCUUUUGAAACUGAAAGCCUAGAGUUCAGAAGGGGCAGAUGGAAUUAGUGGUGUAGGGGUAAAAUCCGUAGAUAUCACUAGGAAUAUCAAAAGCGAAGGCGAUCUGCUGGGAUGAUACUGACG